rnacentral:rRNA from 1 species
UGGCUGUCGUCAGCUCGUGUCGUGAGAUGUUGGGUUAAGUCCCGUAACGAGCGCAACCCUUGUCCUUAGUUACCAGCACCUCGGGUGGGCACUCUAAGGAGACUGCCGGUGACAAACCGGAGGAAGGUGGGGAUGACGUCAAGUCAUCAUGGCCCUUACGGCCAGGGCUACACACGUGCUACAAUGGUCGGUACAAAGGGUUGCCAAGCCGCGAGGUGGAGCUAAUCCCAUAAAACCGAUCGUAGUCCGGAUCGCAGUCUGCAACUCGACUGCGUGAAGUCGGAAUCGCUAGUAAUCGUGAAUCAGAAUGUCACGGUGAAUACGUUCCCGGGCCUUGUACACACCGCCCGUCACACCAUGGGAGUGGGUUGCUCCAGAAGUAGCUAGUCUAACCGCAAGGGGGACGGUUACCACGGAGUGAUUCAUGACUGGGGUGAAGUCGUAACAAGGUAGCCGUAGGGGAACCUGCGGCUGGA